AGAGUUUGAUCAUGGCUCAGAACGAACGCUGGCGGCGUGCCUAACACAUGCAAGUCGAACGCGAAAGGGGGCAACCCCCGGUAGCGUGGCAGACGGGUGAGUAGCACGUGGGUAACCUACCCGGAGGUGGGGGAUAACCCUUCGAAAGGAGGGCUAAUACCGCAUGAUACCGCGGGGACCUCGGUCCUCGCGAUCAAAGCUGGCCUCUGUUUACAAGCUAGCGCCACCGGAUGGGCCCGCGCCCCAUUAGCUAGUUGGUGAGGUAACGGCUCACCAAGGCAACGAUGGGUAGCCGGCCUGAGAGGGCGAUCGGCCACACUGGAACUGCGACACGGUCCAGACUCCUACGGGAGGCAGCAGUGAGGAAUAUUGCGCAAUGGGCGAAAGCCUGACGCAGCGACGCCGCGUGGAGGAUGAAGGUCUUCGGAUUGUAAACUCCUGUCGAGUGGGACGAAUGCCGUGAGGGUGAACAUCCCUUACGGUUGACGGUACCGCUGGAGGAAGCCCCGGCUAACUCCGUGCCAGCAGCCGCGGUAAUACGGAGGGGGCUAGCGUUGUUCGGAAUUAUUGGGCGUAAAGGGCGCGUAGGCGGCAUGACAAGUCACUUGUGAAAUCUCCGGGCUUAACUCGGAACGGCCAAGUGAUACUGUCAAGCUAGAGUGCAGAAAGGGCAACUGGAAUUCUUGGUGUAGCGGUGAAAUGCGUAGAUAUCAAGAGGAACACCUGAGGCGAAGGC
rnacentral:rRNA from 1 species